rnacentral:rRNA from 1 species
UACAGAGGUCCCGAGCGUUGUUCGGAUCCAUUGGGCGUAAAGGGUGCGUAGGUGGCGUGGUAAGUCGGGUGUGAAAUUUCGGAGCUUAACUCCGAAACUGCAUUCGAUACUGCUGUGCUUGAGGACUGGAGAGGAGACUGGAAUUUACGGUGUAGCAGUGAAAUGCGUAGAGAUCGUAAGGAAGACCAGUGGCGAAGGCGGGUCUCUGGACAGUUCCUGACACUGAGGCACGAAGGCCAGGGGAGCAAACGGG